rnacentral:misc_RNA from 1 species
UACGAAGGGGGCGAGCGUUGUUCGGAAUUACUGGGCGUAAAGGGCGCGCAGGCGGCUCAUCAAGUCAGGCGUGAAAGCCCCGGGCUCAACCCGGGAGGUGCGCUUGAGACUGGUGGGCUGGAGUUCGGGAGAGGAUGGUGGAAUUCCCAGUGUAGAGGUGAAAUUCGUAGAUAUUGGGAAGAACACCGGUGGCGAAGGCGGCCAUCUGGACCGAAACUGACGCUGAGGCGCGAAAGCGUGGGGAGCAAACAGG